UUUUUCUUGACAAAUGUUCAUUCUAGUGGC
rnacentral:piRNA from 1 species